CAGCAGCCGCGGUAAUACGGAGGAUCCGAGCGUUAUCCGGAAUUAUUGGGUUUAAAGGGUGCGUAGGCGGAUAGAUAAGUCAGUGGUGAAAGACGGUGGCUCAACCAUCGCAGUGCCGUUGAUACUGUUUAUCUUGAAUAUGGAUGAGGUAGGCGGAAUGUGGCAAGUAGCGGUGAAAUGCAUAGAUAUGCCACAGAACACCGAUUGCGAAGGCAGCUUACCAAGGCAAAAUUGACGCUGAGGCACGAAAGCGUGGGGAUCGAACAGGAUUAGAUACCCCUGUAGUCCCUGUCUCUUAUAC
rnacentral:rRNA from 1 species